rnacentral:lncRNA from 1 species
CAGGGAUAUGAAAAAUUUAAGUGCAAUGGAGCUUAAACGAAUUGCAUCAUAUUUCUAUUAUUCUGCGCAUGUUUACGUGAAAGGUCAAAGUAAUUCUGAAAAAAGGCAGUAUAUAAAUGAUAAAACACAGUGGUACUAAACACAUUGACGAACAGUAAUUUGUCUCGUUUAAUUUGAUUAGAACUUUGACAUUUCCUUUGGUAUUUUUUAAC